CUUUCUGCGUGUGCUGCUGAGUGGAGAGGCAGAUGUGCUCUUGGGUCCUCGGACUUGGGCCUGACCAGGUUGCCGGGGCCUUGCUUUGUCCUUGGGCCUUCGAGGCCUCUCUCCCCACACUAGUGUGUGGGUCCCUCAAGUACCUGGCCUUUCUUUCCUGCCUAGACCUUUGUGGCUGGUUGGUGUGUGGAUCCCGAAGGCUGAAGAUAUCUGUCUCAUCAACAACAUAUUGUUGGAUCCUGGUUUCUAAUCCAUUCUGCUCUCCACUUUCUUUUUAUGGAGAAAAUCUUUGUGAUGCCUGGAAUCCUCUUCCUCAAUCAACUGUAACUGCUAUAUCUUUGAGGCCCAAGACCAUGAAAGCAUCCCACAGAAUCUGCUUCAGCCUUAUUGUCCUGAAGAUUUUCUUAGUCCUAUCCUCAGAGAUCAAGAAUCAAGCACUGGAGAAUGAAACCAUUUUAUUGUGAAUGCCAUGAGCCCUGCGACUUCAGAGAGCACAUUUCGAGGAUCAUUUGUGAGAAAAGCUGUCAUGGAAAAGCUUUGAUUCAACUAAGCCCCUGACGGUGAACCUAUGGCACACAGAGACCUCUCUGUGGGCAUUUAGUUACCGGAAAGGCAGAGGUCUCCUGAGAGUAGAGUUCUAGUAUCACCAUCCUUCUACUCCCUCCUCCGCUUCUCUGUGCCUCCUCCAUAUGAGAGAGCCAUUGCUGCAUCCUACCUCCUCCUGGUCCAUUCCACUGCAUUUCAGCUCAUUCCAUUCACUUCAAGUCUUCCAUCCAUACACGCCCCUUCAAAAUAUCUAGGUGAUGAUGCCACUCUCAGGGGACACAAAUGACAUUUUCCCAUAUAGGAAUCAAACACUUUGACAUUUAUGAUUGCUUAUGAUUUGGAUUGCUCAUGAUUAAUUUCAUAAUAAUAAUUAAUUACCUUUGUUAUUUUUCUUAUAGAUCAGAUUUUCUUCUGAGGUGUGGGUUUUCCCCAGAAAUACUUGAAACACCUUUAGUUUGUUAAAUGGCCUCUUUUUACCUUUUAAAAUUAUGCUCAUCUUUGCUGAAUAUAUUAUUUUUGGUGGGAUGCCCAUUUUAUUUGCAGAGCUUGUUUCUAAGAGAAGGUAUGUAUGUGCAUCAUUGUUUGAAAAGGCUAUUUGAGAACACAACCAUAUUUCCAAACUAAAAUUCAUGCUAAAAUGUUUUAAAAUUUUUUUUCCAUUUUAUACUCUUUCCCACUCCUAAAUCCCAUUGAACAAAACAAUUCCCUGUUCCAUCACAAGUACGUGGAUGAAUGUUUUCCACUUUCUCCAUGCCACACAAUUUUGUUUGCAGCAUCUUAGGUUCCUUACCUCUUCCAAAAGGUGAGUAAUGCUUUUCAACGUCAGUCUUCUGAUUUAGUGGUUUUCAUCAAAUUGAAUAAGGUUUUAAAUUUUUUGGAAUAUUUUCUAUGUAAAGUGUACAUUUUUCUCCUGAAUUAGAAUUGGCAUCAGUUCAUAAAGGCGUUGCAACUUUCCUCUGACACUCUAUUUUUCAUAAUUUCUUGAAGAACAAUAAUUAUCCAUUGCAUUUACACAAUAUGAUUUGGUUAUUUAUUCCAUGAUAGGGACAGGAUCUGAGUUUUCCAUUCUUUAUAGUUCAGUCAUAUCUGACACUAUCAGACUCCAUGUGCUGAUGUCUUAGGAAAAAUACAAGAGUGGUUUUAAAUUUCCUUCACCAGUUCAUUGGAUGAAAGAAGAAAGUGAGACAAGCAAGGAUCAUUUAAGUGAUAAGCAGUUAGUAAGUGUCAGAGGAUAUAUUUGAACUCCGGAAGAGGAAUAUCAACAUUAUUUCAAAAGAGCAUCUAGAAGCCUAGAUUUAAUUUUGGUUACAAUUA